ensembl:lncRNA
GAAUAUGCUCUCACUUUUAACUACUCUACUCAGGGAAGGAGAUGUCUCCUUUUUAAGAUAAAAGUUAAGGUAUAGUACUUACAUUGACCCAUAGAUAAGUCAACCCAGGUUUUUGAGUGUUAUUUUGUGACUAAAAUUUCUAGACUUAUACAUGAGGAUAGACACUAGACAGUAAGAAACAUUAACACAAAAAAUAGAAAUAACUUUAAAAAAACCCCAUACAUUGCACAUAUGAACUGAGCCCAAAUAUAAGUAGUGACAAAGAGUGCAAAUAUUUCAGUCUCUUGAGAUUAAUUCUCCUAGUUUCUGCUGCAUAGUGUAUGUGACGGGAAUGGAAACACAACUUGGAUCAAAGUUAACUGAUAUAACUGUGCAUAAUAUCAACUAAAUAUCAGUUGGUUCUAAAAAUGUCAGUUCAUGAAUUUUACCCAUUCCUUAGACAAAUCAGAAGGCCAAAGAAGAGAGAAACCUGAACAUUUUAAAAGUAAGUGAAAAUGAAGGAGAACAGGAUUGUUCUUGCCAAACUGGGAGGGCAUGGCAGUGUCCAUACUUCUCCUCAUGACAUUUUAGUUGGGCCCAUGUCAUUAGCUCUUGCUUUGGCAUCAUCUCAUUUACACUUAUGUGAAGUAUCACCAAUUACUCAGACAGAUCUACAGCCAAAUGUUUCUGCAUGUUCCCAGGUCUCCUUCGAGUCUGCACGUUUUUGUUGGCCAGGGCAGGACAUUAUAAUGUACAGUCCCCGAAGGAUCAGUCAGAAUGGAUGCCUAUUGUGGAUGCCUGCUCUGAAAGAAAGAGAAUUGGCAUUCGUUCUUCCUCGUGCAAGGAAAACUUACUCUGUACAUUCUCCAAAGUUCUCUGCUUUACUUAGAGCACUAGAAUACUAGUGAGACCCACAAACAUUCUGGGUGUGGAGUGGGGAAAGUGAAACCGUGGAUAUCGAAUCUGUCGAUCAGUCGUUUGUACUAUACUAAACAUAAAGAGACACACAUUACGACUAGUAUCAAGAUUUUUUUUUUAAAACCAGAAGUUUUUGUCUUUUAAUUACCAUGUAAGGAGUCUGGGAAGAGUAAUAAUUUUGGAAUUAUCUCUGACAUAUUCAGCAGACAAACAUAUUAGUUUAUCUCGAAUUUUUAGAGCUGGGACAAAAAUGGCUUCCUGUGGUGGUAGACUUAUAACUAAGCUUUUCAUAAACAAUAUCCUUUCAUGUUAGCUAAGAAGGCAAAGGCCAAGUUUGGGAAAAAUGCAGCUUUUCUAAUGUUCCAUUCCAAAUCCACAUUACAACAAUACCCAAUGCCAUAGCCCUGUUUGAGCAGGAGAUAUCCAGCUUUGACUAAUAAAGUUUCAGGGAACAUUGGCUGCCUUGUCAGAACAGGGCACUAGAAAAAGUUAGCAGGAGACUAUAUAGUAUGGAUUGAAUAAAUCAAUUAGCUUUAUCAAAUUAUUAUUAUUAUUAUUAUUAUUAUUAUUAUUAUUAUUAUUAUUAUUAUUAUUAUUAUUAUAUUUUAUGACACAGCAAACAAGAUAGAUGUGCUGGAUUUUGUUUCACAAAAUCACAAGUCGAACACUUCCCAAGUGUCUAGGACUGUAUGAUGUAUUUUUGGAUGAUGUGCGCAGAUCCCAGUAGGGUGGCCUUUUGCAGAUGGCAGAUCGUAAUUUUGUCAAUGUCUAUUGUUUCCAAAUGCCGGCUGAA